rnacentral:misc_RNA from 1 species
UCCGGUUUGUCACCGGCAGUCUCCCAUGAGUCCCCAACUUAAUGCUGGCAACAUGGAACGGGGGUUGCGCUCGUUGCGGGACUUAACCCAACAUCCCACGACACGAGCUGACGACAGCCAUGCACCACCUGUGAAAGUGUCCCGAAGGAAAACCGUGUUUCCACGGCUGUCACUUACAUGUCAAGCCCAGGUAAGGUGGGGAUGACGUCGACGUCAUAACC